CCAUAUCGCUCUCGUUCAGGUGCCCGUGAAAGCGGGAGAAUCGGGAAUCCGGUGAAAAUCCGGGACGUGCCCAACGCUGUGACGGGGACGGUUUUGCAUUGAUGAAUCUCUGAGUGUUCUCAGAGUUCUGCCACUGGAUCUUCAAGUAAUCCGGGAAGGCGGCAAAGCCGGAUGAUCCGCAGUCAGAAGACCGGCCUGACGCGAUAGACCAGA
rnacentral:ncRNA from 1 species